rnacentral:rRNA from 1 species
UACAGAGGGGGCAAGCGUUGUUCGGAAUUACUGGGCGUAAAGGGCGCGUAGGCGGCCUGUUAAGUCGAACGUGAAAUCCCCGGGCUCAACCCGGGAACUGCGUCCGAUACUGGCAGGCUUGAAUCCGGGAGAGGGAUGCGGAAUUCCAGGUGUAGCGGUGAAAUUCGUAGAUAUCAGGAGGAACACCGGUGGCAAAGGCGGGUCUCUGGGCCGAUACUGACGCUGAGGAGCGAAAGCGUGGGGAGCGAACAGG